rnacentral:sRNA from 1 species
CACCAUCUUGGUAGUGUGCAAGACUCUGGGACCGCAUGAGAAAGGCAGAAAGGGAGCAAAGGAGCUGGUGGGGUGUCACAGGGCCUAUGUAUGAGGCAGAUGUGAGUUCUGCAUCCAGUUUUGCAAUUUAUCCAUUUACCUGCCUGAGACUUGGAAACACCUACUUGAUAGCCCUGAUUCAAGUGUUGGCGGAUGGAAGGGAGGAGACUCCUGACCCUCAGAAUGGCUUGGAGUGCAAUGGCACGAUGUCGGCUCACUGCAACCUCUGUCUGCCGGGUUCAAACAAUUUUCCUACCUCAGCCUCCCAAGUAGCUGGGAUUACAGAGAUCAAUGGCUUUUCAAAAGCAGCACACCAAACUGUCAAAGUGGUGAUCCCUCUUCAUUUGACAUGCUCACAAAGAGGAGAAUAAGACAAGAAAGCAAGCUAACCCAGAAACAGUGAGGUGACAGUGCACCUCAAACACAGGAAAAUAAAAUGCAUAACUAUACUGAUUGGAUGCUGCUCAAAAUCAGCCUACAUGCCAUCUUUGGUACGUGUGAACAAAGUUACCAAUUCCUAUUCUAACUAUGAUAUACUCAAAACUGUACAAUCAGUAAUGGGAUGCUCUAAAGACAAAAGAACUGCAAACCCU